UACGGGGGGAGCAAGCGUUGUUCGGAUUUACUGGGCGUAAAGGGCGCGUAGGCGGCCACCGCAAGUCAAUUGUGAAAUCUCCGGGCUUAACUCGGAACGGUCAAGUGAUACUGUCGGACUAGAGUACAGAAGGGGCAACUGGAAUUCUCGGUGUAGCGGUGAAAUGCGUAGAUAUCGAGAGGAACACCUGCGGCGAAGGCGGGUUGCUGGGCUGAUACUGACGCUGAGGCGCGAAAGCCAGGGGAGCAAACGGG
rnacentral:rRNA from 1 species